ensembl:lncRNA
GUUCAAGAAUGCAAAAGGAAGGUCAGAGAUUUUGCAGUGUGCAGUAAGAAAUUUUUUGCACUUGGCAUUGCCAAUUGUAUCUUACAGAAAAUUUCUAAUUCAUUUCAGAGCACUGAAGCUCAGCAUUCUACUCAGUUAUUGGUGACUGGAUUAAAUUUCCAGCAAAACUGUAUGAAAGGAGUCCUGAUAUCAAGAAAUUAACCCAUUAUAUUUACUGGAGACAUGUUGAAACACACAGCAAUGUCCUUCAUUAAACAAGGAGUGGCCUUAAAUAAGGGCAGCUACAUGGAUGGGACUGCCUUACUUUGAAGUACCAGAUAUCUUUUGCUCAUGAUCAGCACCAGAACAACAUUCCAAGCUGAACAUCACCAUCACGUGGUGUAGAAUAUGCUGCACAACUGGUCACUCAAGAAGGAAAUGUGUGUGUGUUUGGGAGUACAACCAUAUUCCCCCUCUGUCUCACCACAUAUCACAGUAGAGCCCUUGCUCUUACCUUGGAUUACGCCCAGCCUGGCAGAACCUGCUUCUGUAAGGGAAAAUGCUGUGAGUAUCUUUCUGCAAAACUGUCACAAACUGCUAAUCAACCAACUUAGUAGCUGUGCCUGGUUGAAGAACUGGAGGAAGCUGGAGGAUGCACAGCCUACAUGUGCUUUAUUGAAAACAGAGACAUAUGAAAAAUAUAUCUUCUAUGAUGGGAUUUUUCAGGUCUGCUGACACUAGAUAAAAUAUGGAUUGUACUGGCAUUCCCUUGUUCCUCCUGCUUCUUGUUCUUUCCAAGACUUGCUUCACCUUUAAUCUGUGUUCCACAGCUUGCUAUCUACAAAACCACUAAAAGAUAAAUCCAUCUGGAUAGCUCAUGAAC